rnacentral:rRNA from 1 species
AGAACGAACGCUGGCGGCAGGCCUAAUACAUGCAAGUCGAACGCACUCUUCGGAGUGAGUGGCAGACGGGUGAGUAACGCGUGGGAACCUUCCCAAUGGUACGGAAUAACUCCGGGAAACCGGUGCUAAUACCGUAUAAGCCCCUCGGGGGAAAGAUUUAUCGCCAUUGGAUGGGCCCGCGUCGGAUUAGCUAGUUGGUAAGGUAAUGGCUUACCAAGGCUACGAUCCGUAGCUGGUCUGAGAGGAUGAUCAGCCACACUGGGACUGAGACACGGCCCAGACUCCUACGGGAGGCAGCAGUAGGGAAUCUUGGACAAUGGGCGAAAGCCUGAUCCAGCCAUGCCGCGUGAGUGAAGAAGGCCUUAAGGGUUGUAAAGCUACUUUUGGCGGGACGAUAAUGACGGUACCCGCAGAAUAAGCCCGCUAACUCGUGCCAGCAGCCGC